GUGGCUUGUGGCUCAAUGGUAGAGCACUCGCCUAGCAUAGGUGAGGCACUGACUUCGAUCCUCAGCACCACA
rnacentral:tRNA from 1 species